UCUUGCCCUAGUAUAUUUCUGCAUCAAUGACAGCACCCAUGUAUGAUUGUAGAUAAAUUUAGUAAUAGAUUGGAUUGUAUCCACUACCUACUGUACUUUACGAAGCUUCUCAAUAUCCAUCAACAUGAGGUCAAUGCAAUGUACAGUAUAUGGUAUCUAGUAAAUAUACGAUCGCUACUCCAUCAGUAACUCAUCAAUAGCCUUAUAUUGGGGCUCAUUAUCUAUGUGAUCUGUAUGACAUUCUGCUCUCUAACUGAAUCAAUCAUCUUCUCCAUCAGUUCAAGGAUGUAUGCGGUAUCGUGCAUCCUAUCUAAAGCAUCAAUUGAUUUAUAAAAAAAUAUUUUUUCAUCAUAAUAUAUCAAAAAAUUUAUGAUACUCCAUCUAGUAGGACCAGUCCAACCAUCACAUAUCACCGUC
rnacentral:lncRNA from 1 species